rnacentral:misc_RNA from 1 species
AAGUCGUAACAAGGUUUCCGUAGGUGAACCUGCGGAAGGAUCAUUACAAUUCAGUAGCUUGCUACUGUCGGGAGGCGCUGUUAGUCCGCAUAGUUUUAUUACUGAUGAGCGGCAGGCCCUCUGUCUGUACCCUUGUCUUUUGCGCACUCAUGUUUCCUCGGUGGGCUUGCCUGCCGAUAGGACAAAACUAUAACCUUUUUAAUUUUCAAUCAGCGUCUGAAAAAACUUAAUAAUUACAACUUUCAACAACGGAUCUCUUGGUUCUG